AGAAGGGACGGCAACGUCACAGGUGUUCAGUUACAUCUACCAGCAUAGCCUCAUGAGUACAAACUGAUAAGAAUUUGCACAGGUUAUAAACUGUGAAGGUUAGAGAGAGGGGCAGAGCUUCUUAAAAGACUUUAAAAAUUAGUAAAUUCAAAUAAAUCAUUUGAUGAUUAGAUAGUGGAUAGGUAGAGGACAGGUAGUGGAUCUGGAAGCUACUAGGAUCACUGGGUACAAGAUAAGAGAAUUCACCUUGAAUGGGACAACAGUCUAUCACAGGCCACCACACACACACACACACACACACACACACACACACACACACACACACAUACACCGAGGGCCAAAUUAACAUAACCAAUCCGCCUAACCGGUUUUGGACAGUAUGAGGAAUCCAGAGGGAACCAACCUGAACACGGGAAGAAGACGAGGAACUCGACACGGACGGUAGUCUGAGCUCAUAAUCCAACACACAGUCCUGUGAAGUAGAACUCUAUGUCCUGUGCCACUGAUACUGAUAUCAUCAAAUGAAAUCAUUCGUCCAUUAGAAUUUCUAUGAAUUUUGCAGACGAUUUCCUUGUAGUGCGAUACUGCAGGCAUCAGACAAAAUACUCUGACAUAAUCCUAAUCGUAUAACCUAAAAAUAAUAAUACAUACCAAAUGUAUAAAUAAUUAAUAAAUUAAUAUACAACGUGCAGCUGCAAAUCACUAUAUUAUUUCUUUAUAGUAAUAAUAAUAAUACUAAUAAUAAAUAAUAUACACAUUUUUCUUAGUAACGUUCUUUUCUCAUAAUUUGACUAUUUGCUGCUUUGUAAAGAGGAAUUAUCUCUGAAGUGAUCAUCUGACCUCAAACUCCAUCUCGAUCCCACACAGUCAAAGACAGGAACAUUACAAGAGCAGGAUCACCCACCUGGGGAACUCCCUUCUCUUUGUGUGUGUGUGUGUGUGUGUGUGUGUGUGUGUGUGUGUGUGUGUGUGUGUGUGUGUGUGUGUGUGUGUGUGUUCCAUUGUAACAGGCAAACUAAGAGUAAAUUGUGUCUACCAUACUUUUUCCUCCACUCAUACGUACUGCUACUGCUGUCUAAGGAUAAAAGAUAAAUGACUCUAUCCACUUACAUUUACAGCACUUAAUCUACAGCUAAAUAUGGUGUGUGCAAUGUGUGUGUGCAGAUACGUGUGUGUGUAUAUUUCACUUUCUAUGUCUAUGCGCAAGGAGGUUUUUAAGGGGAAGUGUGAAUGGAUAUAUCAAGUUAUCUCUCGCAAACAAUGGCACGCACAACUGCUCAGCUCAUGGCUGUUCAGCAAAAAAAAAAAAAAAAAAAAGGUACAGAAAAAAAAAAGAACAUACUAUUUGAAAUUUUCAGAUUCUCAUGUACGACCUCAAAAAAAUUAAAUAAAUAAAUAAAAUAAAAUAGCUAAAUAUGUAAAUAAAAAAUGUAAAAAAUCAGGACCUGAAGCCAUUUGCAGAAAGUUUUACACAAAUUUUCAAAAUACUUCAUUUUGAAUGCUGCUAUUUGAGAUCAUUGGUUUCAAAAACUUUCAAAUUCCCGUCUAUGCCCUCAAAAAAACAUUAAGGACCUUCAAUCAUUUGCAGAACAUUUCACACUAAAUGGUCUGGAGUGAUGUAAAACCCAAUAUUGAAUAAAAAACGAAUAAAGAGGUCUUCUGAAGCAGUGACGCUAUUUGAAGAAGGAGAGUAAAUGCAUUUUCCCGACUGCCUCCACCACUCUGAACCAUUUACCAAGCUUCCUUCGCUCUUGAUGGAGCAGAGAUGGAUGAAGGGAGGAUCCCGACACUUUAUACACUCUCGCUCGCACCGUCCAUUAAUAGUUUCCAUCAGAUCUUUCCCCUCCUUUCCGCUUUCCUCAAUUCGGUUGAAGUGGUGCUUUUUUAACACCAAUGAGCUCAAUCUUUCCCUCUUAUGAAUGACAGCUCAUAGGGUGGUGUGGCGAAAGUGGUUCCAUCUCAGAAAAUGCCAGAGGAGAGAGAACAUAACAUAGACCGAGGCAAUGGGACAAAUCCCACUUUUCCUCAGAACGAAUUCUGGAUAUUGAUUAUUCAUGAGCACAAGCCAGAGGCAACUGUGGAAAAAAAACCCUCUCAGACACCAUGAGGCACAAACUCAUGAGGAAUCCAUCGUCUUAAGGAUAGCGAAGGGAUUAUAAAUCAAUUAUUACAGUGUACUGGUGUAAAGGCCAACAGUAAGUGUAAGUGUGCUGAAAAGAUACAGCAUGAGGAUAUUAGGUAUAAAUCUCCCGUGUCCUAUAUCCAUACUUCUUUUUAAUCAAAAGUACUUUUUCACACACUUUUGCUGUUUCUGCGUAUUGUUUUUCUCUGAAUAAAUAUUUUGUGAAUAUACUGUAUUCACUUUGUUAUGUUCACAACAUGGUGACACAAAAUUUUGCCUUAAAAAUAAAUAACCUCAUCCAUUUA